CAGCCCUGACAUCCCGAUCGCGGUUACCAGAGAUGGUAUCCUUCAGUUAGGCUGGAUCGGUGACAGGUGCUGCAUGGCUGUCGUCAGCUCGUGUCGUGAGAUGUUGGGUUAAGUCCCGCAACGAGCGCAACCCUCGCCCUUAGUUGCCAUCAUUCAGUUGGGCACUCUAAGGGGACUGCCGGUGAUAAGCCGAGAGGAAGGUGGGGAUGACGUCAAGUCCUCAUGGCCCUUACGGGCUGGGCUACACACGUGCUACAAUGGUGGUGACAGUGGGCAGCGAGACCGCGAGGUCGAGCUAAUCUCCAAAAGCCAUCUCAGUUCGGAUUGCACUCUGCAACUCGAGUGCA
rnacentral:rRNA from 1 species